GACGAACGCUGGCGGCGUGCUUAACACAUGCAAGUCGAGCGGAAAGGCCCUUUCGGGGGUACUCGAGCGGCGAACGGGUGAGUAACACGUGAGUAAUCUGCCCUGGACUCUGGGAUAGCCACCGGAAACGGUGAUUAAUACCGGAUAUGACACCUUGCUGCAUGGUGGGGUGUGGAAAGUUUUUUCGGUCCAGGAUGUGCUCGCGGCCUAUCAGCUUGUUGGUGAGGUAAUGGCUCACCAAGGCUUUGACGGGUAGCCGGCCUGAGAGGGUGACCGGUCACACUGGGACUGAGACACGGCCCAGACUCCUACGGGAGGCAGCAGUGGGGAAUAUUGGACAAUGGGCGGAAGCCUGAUCCAGCAACGCCGCGUGAGGGAUGACGGCCUUCGGGUUGUAAACCUCUUUCAGUACCGACGAAGCGUGAGUGACGGUAGGUACAGAAGAAGGACCGGCCAACUACGUGCCAGCAGCCGCCGUAAUAC
rnacentral:rRNA from 1 species